GAUUACUGGCUCAGGAUGAACGCUAGCGACAGGCUUAACACAUGCAAGUCGAGGGGCAGCACGGGAGUAGCAAUACAACUGGUGGCGACCGGCGCACGGGUGAGUAACGCGUAUGCAACCUACCUAUCAGAGGGGAAUAACCCGGCGAAAGUCGGACUAAUACCGCAUAAAACAGGGGCACCGCAUGGUGAUAUUUGUUAAAGAGAUUCGCUGAUAGAUGGGCAUGCGUUCCAUUAGGUAGUUGGUGAGGUAACGGCUCACCAAGCCGACGAUGGAUAGGGGAACUGAGAGGUUGGUCCCCCACACUGGUACUGAGACACGGACCAGACUCCUACGGGAGGCAGCAGUGAGGAAUAUUGGUCAAUGGGCGGGAGCCUGAACCAGCCAAGUCGCGUGAAAGGAAGAAGGAUCUAUGGUUCGUAAACUUCUUUUGCAGGGGAAUAAAGUGCAGGACGUGUCCUAUUUUGUAUGUACCCUGAGAAUAAGGAUCGGCUAACUCCGUGCCAGCAGCCGC
rnacentral:rRNA from 1 species